rnacentral:rRNA from 1 species
UACAGAGGGUGCGAGCGUUAAUCGGAAUUACUGGGCGUAAAGCGCGCGUAGGCGGCUUUGCAAGUCGGGUGUGAAAUCCCCAGGCCUAACCUGGGAACUGCAUUCGAGACUGCAUGGCUGGAGUAUGGGAGAGGGAAGUGGAAUUUCAGGUGUAGCGGUGAAAUGCGUAGAUAUCUGAAGGAACAUCAGUGGCGAAAGCGACUUCCUGGACCAAUACUGACGCUCAUGUGCGAAAGCGUGGGGAGCAAACAGG